rnacentral:tRNA from 1 species
AAAAUCCGUCGACUUUUAAAAUCGUGAGGGUUCAAGUCCCUUACCCUUGACGCCC